rnacentral:rRNA from 1 species
GAUGAACGCUGGCGGCGUGCUUAACACAUGCAAGUCGAACGGAAAGGCCCUUGCUUGCUGGGGUACUCGAGUGGCGAACGGGUGAGUAACACGUGGGUGAUCUGCCCUGCACUUCGGGAUAAGCCUGGGAAACUGGGUCUAAUACCGGAUAGGACCAUCGUUUAGUGUCGGUGGUGGAAAGUUUUUUCGGUGUGGGAUGAGCUCGCGGCCUAUCAGCUUGUUGGUGGGGUAAUGGCCUACCAAGGCGUCGACGGGUAGCCGGCCUGAGAGGGUGUACGGCCACAUUGGGACUGAGAUACGGCCCAGACUCCUACGGGAGGCAGCAGUGGGGAAUAUUGCACAAUGGGCGCAAGCCUGAUGCAGCGACGCCGCGUGGGGGAUGACGGCCUUCGGGUUGUAAACUCCUUUCGUCAGGGACGAAGCGAAAGUGACGGUACCUGGAUAAGAAGCACCGGCUAACUACGUG